GACGGAGGGUGCGAGCGUUGCUCGGAAUAAUUGGGCGUAAAGAGUAGUGAGGUGGUGUGUGAAGUCUGGUGUGAAAGCCUUGGGCUUAACCCAAGAAGAGCGCUGGAAACUAGCAGACUAGAGUGCUGGAGGGGGCUGUGGAAUUCCCGGUGUAGCGGUGAAAUGCGUAGAGAUCGGGAAGAAUACCGGAGGCGAAGGCGACGGCCUAGACAGUAACUGACACUGUACUACGAAAGCAUGGGAAUCAAACAGG
rnacentral:rRNA from 1 species